AGAGAGAGACAUGCGCGCAUAUCAAUAAGCGGAGGAAAAGAAACUAACAAGGAUUCCCUUAGUAACGGCGAGUGAAGCGGGAAGAGCUCAAAUUUGAAAUCUUCAAGGUUUUACCUUGACGAAUUGUAGUUUAAAGAAGUGUUUUCUGCUGAAGUUUUGGUAAAAGUUCUUUGGAAUAGGACAUCAUAGAGGGUGAGAAUCCCGUAUUUGACCAUUAUUUUCAGCUUUGUGAUACACUUUCAAAGAGUCGGAUUGUUUGGGAAUGCAGUCCAGAAUGGGUGGUAAAUUUCAUCUAAAGCUAAAUAUUGGCGAGAGACCGAUAGCGAACAAGUACCGUGAGGGAAAGAUGAAAAGAACUUUGAAAAGAGAGUUAAACAGUACGUGAAAUUGUCAAAAGGGAAGCGUUUGACACCAGUGUUGUUUUCUCGAAAAUCAAUUAAAAAUGGCUCGAUUUUGUAUUGCUGAGACCUUAAAAGCUCACUGUACAUUUUUCGUGUCUUUUUUAAUGCACUUUUCGUUUAACAAGUCAACAUCAGUUUCUUUUGUUGUAAAAGGGUCAUUGGAAGGCGGCUUUCUUUUCGGAGAAAGUGUUUAUAGCCUUUGACUUCUGCAAUCGGAGAGACUGAGGUCUGCAGCGUAGACUCUUCGGGGUUAGAUACAUUUGUGCUAAGUUAUAGCUUUUUAUAGACAACUUGUUGACUAUAAUUAGUCUUGUAGCUUACUCGCUUAUGCUAUUUUACCUACGCUUAGGAUGUUGAAGUCAUCGUAUCGCGC
rnacentral:rRNA from 1 species